GGUUAAGUGACUAAGCGUACACGGUGGAUGCCUAGGCAGUCAGAGGCGAUGAAGGGCGUGCUAAUCUGCGAAAAGCGUCGGUAAGGUGAUAUGAACCGUUACAACCGGCGAUACCCGAAUGGGGAAACCCAGUGUGUUUCGACACACUAUCAUGUCAUGAAUACAUAGUGGCAUGAGGCGAACCGGGGGAACUGAAACAUCUAAGUACCCCGAGGAAAAGAAAUCAACCGAGAUUCCCCCAGUAGCGGCGAGCGAACGGGGAGGAGCCCAGAACCUGAAUCGGCUUGUGUGUUAGUGGAAGCGUCUGGAAAGUCGCGCAGCAAAGGGUGAUAGCCCCGUACACUAAAAUGCACAGGUCGUGAGUUCGAUGAGUAGGGCGGGACACGUGACAUCCUGUCUGAAUAUGGGGGGACCAUCCUCCAAGGCUAAAUACUCCUGACUGACCGAUAGUGAACCAGUACCGUGAGGGAAAGGCGAAAAGAACCCCGGCGAGGGGAGUGAAAUAGAACCUGAAACCGUGUACGUACAAGCAGUGGGAGCACCUUCGUGGUGUGACUGCGUACCUUUUGUAUAAUGGGUCAGCGACUUAUAUUUUGUAGCAAGGUUAACCGUAUAGGGGAGCCGUAGGGAAACCGAGUCUUAACUGGGCGAAUAGUUGCAAGGUAUAGACCCGAAACCCGGUGAUCUAGCCAUGGGCAGGUUGAAGGUUGGGUAACACUAACUGGAGGACCGAACCGACUAAUGUUGAAAAAUUAGCGGAUGACUUGUGGCUGGGGGUGAAAGGCCAAUCAAACCGGGAGAUAGCUGGUUCUCCCCGAAAGCUAUUUAGGUAGCGCCUCGUGAACUCAUCUUCGGGGGUAGAGCACUGUUUCGGCUAGGGGGCCAUCCCGGCUUACCAAACCGAUGCAAACUCCGAAUACCGAAGAAUGUUAUCACGGGAGACACACGGCGGGUGCUAACGUCCGUCGUGAAGAGGGAAACAACCCAGACCGCCAGCUAAGGUCCCAAAGUCAUGGUUAAGUGGGAAACGAUGUGGGAAGGCA
rnacentral:rRNA from 1 species